UUUAUACAUGAUUUCUGAUUUCUAUUCCCUGUUCCUAUUGCCUGUUGCCUGGCAUUGUGCAAGGGAUUUUAUCCUUUAACAAACCUACGAGUUUGUUAAGCUCGAGUUCGUCGCUGGCCGGUAUUCAUAAUCAGAACAUAUUUCAAGACCGUCUUAAGUAAUCUCUUAACUUAAAACGUUAAUACGGCUUUGUGAUUAGUUAAUGACAUCUUAAGAUUGUACUUAAGACGGGUCUUAAAUAUAAGAACCGACAAUGAAUACCGGCCGCUGCGGACACACAGCAUACCACACACUCAUUAACAUACAUUUCUGACUUUGUUUUCCAAAUUUUAUAUUUGAUUAGUGCGUCAUCCGAUAUUUAUACCCUUGAAGUAAACGUGUAUCUCGAGCCCAUUUAAGGCAUCAAGGUUAAUAAUAAGAGGAAGUUAAAAAUAAGGAGAAAUAGUAUAGCUGACCUUCCAAUGCAGUGUCAAUGUUAUAAGCGUAAGCUGCGCAGAAAAAUAGAAAAAGAGAGACAGAAAAGAAUUAGACAUAGUGAAGUAAAGAGAAUAUAGUGACACAAGUUCAGAAAUCAUUCGGAGAGGAGUCAAGUGAAUCAGAUGAAAACUUAAAUGAAAACUUAGAUGAGUCAUUAGAACCUGAGAUAUUUUGUGAACAAAAUCAGGAAACCGUGAUUGCUUUCAAUAGAUUUCCGUGCGACAGAAUUGAACAUGCAAGAGAAUCUCACGACUUUGAGUAUGAAAUAAAUAAUGAUAGGUUUGUUGCUGAUUUGUUUAUGUUGCAUGGCGCUCUUACUAUCCUUUCCAGUCCCAUGCUUGUUCAGUCAGAGAUCAUGUGUCAUUAUUCUAAUGAUUUGCUACGAGCAUUUAUUAAUCAUUCUAUUGUAAUUUAUGGUAAAACGUUUGUAGUGUAUAAUGUGCAUUCACUUUCUCAUUUAACUCAGGAAUAUUUGUCUCAUGGAGCAUUGGAUAAAUUUAGUGCCUUUCCUUUUGAGAAUUAUUUAAAAUCUCUCAAGAGUUUACUUAAAUCAGGUUACAAACCUUUAUAGCAAGCUGCGCGUCGUGAUCUAGAAAGAACUGUAUCAGUGUCAGUGCAUCUUCCAACUAAUGAUAAAGAAGUUACUUUGUCACGUUGGUCAGAGAAACUCUUGUUUUAUGACAAUUGACGGAAAUAUAUUUGUAUUGUUAAAUGUGAAAAGACGAGAAGAUAUAUACCUAAUUACAAACAAGUUUAACAAAAAAGAAGAUUUUUAUACAUAUCCUUUCCCUUCAUCUCUUGUUCGUAUUUUUAAAGUGUCAAAUUUGGGUGACCAAAGAAUUGUACUGCCAUUGACAAAUAUUCAAUCAAAAUUUUGUCGUUUUAAAAUUUUUACCUGACGAUCUCAACAAUGAUAAUAUUUGCUACGAUAUCGGCCUUACAAAGUGGUUGAUUGAAGUGAAUGAAGAUAUGGAAGGUGAGACAUAUUGGCCACCGCGUAAUGUUGAAGCUGGAAGCUUGGUCCGUAAAGAAGUAAAUGCAGACGAAACUUGGCCCAAAUAUCGUGUACAUGUUAAGAGAUAUCACGAUUUGAAUACUCAUUUAUCUAAGAUAGACAGGAAAUUGGAGGACUUAAGUUGCAAAAUAAAUACAGUUAUAACGAAUCAAGGAAAACUAUACAGAUGUUUGCUUCCUCAGGAAAAGAAAAUACUGGAACCACAUAACAUGCCUUCUUUGCCUUUUCGUAACGAAUUUUAGUGUGAUUAUCUUACCUCUUUUGGAUCUGCUAGUGAUGAAAGAAAAACUGCUACCAUAAUUAUGCAAAAACUUAUGUAUAAUUCUUUGGUCAAAAAUUAUAAUUUUGAUGGCCAUGGUGAGAAAAGAGGCUUAAAAACACUGCAACUGUGGACAGUUAUUGAAGGGUCUUUGUCACUUAAAUUUCCGGACAGCGACCUUGAUACAGCACUUAAAACCAUAAAGUCAUGGUUACGAAAUGCUAGCGGUAGGAAACAAGAGGAAUAUAUUGGCUCUGAUAACCAUUAGAAAAACAUUUCUCUCUUUUGUUGCGGAGAUCUCAGAGAGUCGGCGAGUCUCGAAGGCGAAACUUCUGCGCAAAGUGGUAGACGAAAUCCACCGUGAUCCGCAACACCUUAUGCUGACGACGGAUUAUAUUCUCAUUGUAUUCGCCGUUCCCUUCGAUCAUGCCUGUGACAGGAUUGCUAAACCACUCUUUAAAUUCGCGAUGAGACUGGAAAACGUUAGGCAUAAGAAAGUGCAUGAGCGACCACAGUUCCAUUAAAUUAUUCUUGAUAUUUUGCGCCUCGUCUAAGAUAAGAUAUUUUUAUUUUUUCCGUGUAAAGCUUUGGUAAUCCUGUAUUACUAACUUUAGCUAAUAAGUAGCUGCUAAUUGGCUGUUAUUAAUUUAUUAUCUUCCUACUUUAGCGUAAAUGUUAAACGGGUUGUUUCUUGUCGCUCUUCUCAAGUUGUGAGAAUAAGUAAGAAAAAAUUGUGUUGCUAGAUUUUUAUAGCUCCCUUUUUUUUAUAUGUAUAGAAUUGAGACACAGAGUUUGAUAAGUACAAUUGUCUAUGUAUGCAGGCGAACACAGGUGCAAGUUCCCGUAGUAAUAAUUUAUGUUCUGCGAAAAAUAUUUAUUUAUAAUGAUUGCGCAAAAAAUAGAUCAAGCAUCACGAUGUUUAAUUUGUUCAUUUUUUUAAAUACUAGUGUAUAUAUAAGAAAGUCUCCUAUUUUUUUUCUUUAGUAAAUAUGAUAUGUGCCGAAACUGAAACAGGAAUUGUCGCGUGAAAAAAUAUGUAUACAUCAUCGAUAUAACGUGUUGUAACAUGUAACGUAAGAAUAUUAAACAUUUGUAAGGCGUAA